rnacentral:rRNA from 1 species
UACAGAGGGGGCAAGCGUUGUUCGGAAUUACUGGGCGUAAAGGGCGCGUAGGCGGCCUUCUAAGUCGAACGUGAAAUCCCUGGGCUCAACCCAGGAACUGCGUCCGAUACUGGGAGGCUUGAAUCCGGGAGAGGGAUGCGGAAUUCCAGGUGUAGCGGUGAAAUGCGUAGAUAUCUGGAGGAACACCGGUGGCGAAGGCGGCAUCCUGGACCGGCAUUGACGCUGAGGCGCGAAAGCCAGGGGAGCAAAGCGGG